rnacentral:lncRNA from 1 species
CUUUUUUUUCUCUUUUUAAGAUUUAUUUUAUAUGAGUAUGCUAUAGAAGAAGGCAUCAGGUCCCAUUACAGAUGGUUGAGCCACUACUUGGUUGCUGGGAUUUGAACACCAGAGCAGUCAGUGCUCUUCCCAGCCCUGACUGUCUUGUAGUACAGGCUAGACUUGAACUCUACCUGUCUCUGCCUCCCAAGUACUGGUUUUAUAGACAUGCACCACCACUGCACAGCCUUUAUUCUUAUUUUGAAGAGGAUAUAUCUCUCAUAGAGAUUACAGAUACAUUUCCAUACAUCCAUCUCCUCCGAGAGCCUCUGAGUCUAAUAAAGACUUUUGCUAGCCUCUUCCAAGUAAUCCUCUUGGGGCUUUGGGUUUUUGUUUGUUUGUUUUUUGUCUUUUUGUAUGUAUACAUGUUUAUGUUCACAUGGGUAUUAGCAUGGGUUGGUGGGUAGGUGUGCUUGUCACGAGUGGACCUCUGAGGUGUCUUCCUCAGUCACACUUCACUUUCUUGAGGCUUGGUCUCUCACUGAAUCUGGAGCUUGGAGAUACCUUUAUGGAUUCUCGGAAACUGACUCUAGAUGUUAAUCCUGUGUGGCAAGCAUUUUAUUCAGUAAUGCAGAACCCUAACCUUGUAUUUUACUGAGUAGCAUUGGCUGGUCUGGAACUCACAGCAGUCUUCAUGUCUUAACUUCCUCAGAUCUAAGAUUUCAG